UUCCAGACUCCUACGGGAGGCAGCAGUGAGGAAUAUUGGUCAAUGGCCGGAAGGCUGAACCAGCCAAGCCGCGUGAAGGACGAAGGUGCCAAGCAUUGUAAACUUCUUUUGUCAAGGGACAAAAUCAGGCUCGAGAGCCUGACCGAGGGUACUUGAAGAAAAAGCAUCGGCUAACUCCGUGCCAGCAGCCGCGGUAAUACGUAGGGGGCAAGCGUUAUCCGGAUUUACUGGGUGUAAAGGGAGCGUAGACGGUGCAGCAAGUCUGAUGUGAAAGGUCGGGGCCCAACCCCGGGACUGCAUUGGAAACUGUUGAACUGGAGUACAGGAGAGGUAAGCGGAAUUCCUAGUGUAGCGGUGAAAUGCGUAGAUAUUAGGAGGAACACCAGUGGCGAAGGCGGCUUACUGGACUGUAACUGACGUUGAGGCUCGAAAGCGUGGGGAGCAAACAGGAUUAGAUACCCGAGUA
rnacentral:rRNA from 1 species